CUAUUUUUAAAGAUUUCUUAUUCUGAGUUAUUUCUGAGUUUAUUUCAUUUUGCAGCUUUUGUGAUCUAAAUUACUUUUAAUCUGUUUGGUUACCUACAAGAAUGAUUAAGUAGACUUUUUAAUAUCUCAAGGAAACUAUGUUUAUAUUUUUUGUUAACUAAGGUACUAAAAUCAGAAAAUAUUAAUAACAAUAAUUGCUCAUUUUUAUAAUAAUGGGUUAAGUUGCCUGUGUAGUUUUUGUUUGGUUUUUAUAAGCAGAAUACACAAUUGAAGGUGUGAGUCUUGAAAUAAAAUAUCUAAUCAGCUGGAUUUCUGAAAAUGUUAUAGGGAGUCGCCUGACCAAGAUCUUUUAGAACAAAGCACACUAUAUGCAGUGGGUUUUUUUGCUAUCAAAUAAAAUUGAACUGAUGUGCACAGGUAUCUGUAAUCGGAGGUCCAUAAAGUGUGUGGUUGUGCUUGCUUACUAUUUAUUUGAAAAAAUAGGUGAUGGAUUCUGAGUCCUAUAGCUUGAGUCAUAGAGCUCUGAAGUCUGUCAGUCCCAGAUUUAGAUUGAAGAUCAAACUUUGACAAAUAAAGGUGAUUUGGGAAAUGUUUGUCCUUAAUAUUUAGAAGAGUACCUUGUCCAAGUUAGAGAUAGUAAGACUCAAGUAAGUCAGAAGAACUGUGAUUGUUGUAAGUUGGUUUCUCUUAAUUGAAAGGGAAAAUAUAUUAAUGCUGUAAGCAUUACUGCUGAUAAUUCCUCACAUUUAUUUCUUACCACCCUUCAAUUUGAGUCACCAGUCUGUUGCCCAACACCUGUUUAUCUGCAUGGCUCCCAGGAUUGUUUCCUCACCUUUCACCCUCCCACUGGCAGUAAUCUUACUGUAAGUUCGGAAGCAAUGCCAGAUUCCUUAUGCACUGCUUUCGUGGCUGGUUUCCUUACUGACCUGAGGAGCCUGCCGUCAACUGCUUUGAAGGACUUCAUUUACUGUGCAGCAGAAGUAUAAUAGAAACCCAGGAAUAAAAGAAGGUGUUCUUUACUACAGCUUGAAGGUCUCCUGCAGGAUUUUAUCCUAUUUUUCUCCGUGUAUUAUGGACGGGUUCUCUCAACGAGAGUAAGUGGUGCAUAAGAGUACCAAACACCGGGAAUCAAACUGAAAGAACAAAGAUCAUUAUUUAUGUCAGCCUCAGUUCAUUAUAUAUGUCAGCCCGAAGAAAAAGGGAGAUUCUUGAUUCAAGACUAGUACAUCAUUUCACGUGGCGGCAGAAUGCCCGGGAUGUUAACAAAGGCUCCUGAAAGGCUGAACCAUCUAUGAAUGUCGUUUUAGUCUAGCUGGCCUUACUAUUUCUAAACACAGUGGAAUUGAUCAGCAUUUUCAGGGUUUUUUUUUAAUAAAUAAAUAUGUGGAAUCAGAA